rnacentral:lncRNA from 1 species
GAACUUUUACAAAAUCAAUGAAAUUCAAAACUUUCAAAGAGCAACUCGCUAUAAUACACUAAAACUGGAUCAGUCUUACAACAUAUUGCAACAUAUAGAGCAGGUUAUCGAUUCUUCUUGUCCUGUUAUCCCCAAUAAAUUUGUCAAGAAUGUACGUCAACUAGAGCAAGAUACUCGACCACAAAGGGUAUAUGUUGAAUCACAGAAAAAGGGAUUUAGAUCAAAAGUCAGUUCCAAACUAUUGACAAAACUACCAACUUACCACAACUAGUAGGUUGAGUUCAACUAUCCACCACAAAAAGAAUUGUUAAAUCCCAAGUCUAAAUCCCUUAUUGAAUGUAAGGAUGCGAGUCAAUCUAACUCAUUUUUACCCUUUUGAAAAGUGAUCGUCUAUUGAAAAGUAUAACUCAGAUUCCAUAUAUGAGAACAAAAAGAAAAAAUAAUGUGUAUUUUCGUAGUUGAACUCUACAACUAGUUGAAGAAAGAUAGAAAGUCACUAAGAAGCUUGUACUAUCUCUUAUCUUCUCGACAUGAACACUCAUACACUAUUUUGGGAGUUUCAAUAUUAUUGUACGCAUUGAUUAUCCUAUCAAGUAGAUGCUACAAAAAUCAAAACUAGCUAAGAAAAUGACUGAAUGGUCAGUGAAACUAUCACAGUUCAAACAUAAAUAGGAGCAGAGAACCAACGAAGGCCUAAUUCUUAGCAGAAUUUCUUAUCAAGUUUCCACAACAUGGAGAAAGACAUGAAUCGUGGUAUAUCAGUAUGGAUGAGUCCUCAAUAAGAAAGAAAGUAGAGAUGGGCUGAUCCUCAAAGGUCAUGAUAACAUUACAUUACUUUCGAGCUACACUACAUACACAAGUAUUUCUUCCUAUAUUCAAUAAAUUUUUUCACUCGUGUAUUCAUUUUGAGAACAACUUUUCGCAAUACGUCUCGGAAUAUAAAAAUUAUCUUCGAAUUUCAAUUCCGAAAUGAAUGAGACAUCUCAAGAAAUUUAUUCAGUAAAUGAAGAAAUUCCCUUCUUAGACGAAUGCGAUCAUAUUACUUUGAGCCCUUUGCUUUUGGCAUUGUAUUCAAUAAUAAAUUUAUAGGUAGCUAGUGCUAAUUCCAUUUUCAAAUCCAUUUUUCGACCACUUUGACUAUCAUUCCUGUGAAAUUUGCAUAAAGGUUGCAUCCAAUACACAAACAUCAG